AUGCAAGUCGUGCGAGAAAGUAUCUUCGGAUAUGAGCAGAGCGGCGGACGGGUGAGUAACGCGUAGGAAUCUACCUAGUAGAAGGGGAUAGCCCGGGGAAACCCGGAUUAAUACCGUAUACCUCCUUCGGGAGAAAGAAGGCCUCUCUUUGAAGCUUUCGCUACUAGAUGAGCCUGCGUAAGAUUAGCUUGUUGGUGAGGUAAAGGCUCACCAAGGCUACGAUCUUUAGCUGGUCUGAGAGGACGAUCAGCCACAUUGGGACUGAGACACGGCCCAGACUCCUACGGGAGGCAGCAGUGGGGAAUAUCGGACAAUGGGCGCAAGCCUGAUCCAGCCAUACCGCGUGUGUGAAGAAGGCCUUCGGGUUGUAAAGCACUUUAAGCAGGGAGAAAAAGUUAUAAGUUAAUACCUUAUAACCCUGAUGUUACCUGCAGAAUAAGCACCGGCUAAUUCCGUGCCAGCAGCCGCGGUAAUACGGAAGGUGCAAGCGUUAAUCGGAAUUACUGGGCGUAAAGCGCGCGUAGGUGGUUUGUUAAGUUGGAUGUGAAAGCCCUGGGCUCAACCUAGGAACUGCAUCCAAAACUAACUCACUAGAGUACGAUAGAGGGAGGUAGAAUUCAUAGUGUAGCGGUGGAAUGCGUAGAUAUUAUGAAGAAUACCAGUGGCGAGGGCGGCCUCCUGGAUCUGUACUGACACUGAGGUGCGAAAGCGUGGGUAGCGAACAGGAUUAGAUACCCUGGUAGUCCACGCCGUAAACGAUGACAACUAGCUGUUGGGAGACUAUGUCUUUCAGUGGCGCAGCUAACGCUUUAAGUUGUCCGCCUGGGGAGUACGGCCGCAAGGCUAAAACUCAAAUGAAUUGACGGGGACCCGCACAAGCGGUGGAGCAUGUGGUUUAAUUCGAUGCAAC
rnacentral:rRNA from 1 species